AUCAGAUCAGAUAAUUAGCUUUGACAUCAAGAUCUCGGAAGCUUUCAUGUGUUGUGGGGAAUGCUGUCUUGUCCAAGGAGAUAUCACACUACCUGCUUUAAUUGCUUUCAUCUCAAACCAACACAUAAAAACUCGUCUUCUUCAAUUCAUCACCAUUCACCACGCACUAGCUAGUUUAUCAAAUUGAAGAAUUAAUUUUAAUUUCAC
rnacentral:lncRNA from 1 species